rnacentral:rRNA from 2 species
CUAAUACCGGAUAACACUCUGUCCUGCAUGGGACGGGGUUAAAAGCUCCGGCGGUGAAGGAUGAGCCCGCGGCCUAUCAGCUUGUUGGUGGGGUAAUGGCCUACCAAGGCGACGACGGGUAGCCGGCCUGAGAGGGCGACCGGCCACACUGGGACUGAGACACGGCCCAGACUCCUACGGGAGGCAGCAGUGGGGAAUAUUGCACAAUGGGCGAAAGCCUGAUGCAGCGACGCCGCGUGAGGGAUGACGGCCUUCGGGUUGUAAACCUCUUUCAGCAGGGAAGAAGCGAAAGUGACGGUACCUGCAGAAGAAGCGCCGGCUAACUACGUGCCAGCAGCCGCGGUAAUACGUAGGGCGCAAGCGUUGUCCGGAAUUAUUGGGCGUAAAGAGCUCGUAGGCGGCUUGUCACGUCGGAUGUGAAAGCCCGGGGCUUAACCCCGGGUCUGCAUUCGAUACGGGCUAGCUAGAGUGUGGUAGGGG